rnacentral:lncRNA from 1 species
CCAUAAAAGACUAAACCGUCUUCCCAUUUGAAUUACCCUACACUUUCCUUAAAUCACAACCUAUUUCUCCUUUAUAGGGGUAGAGAGAGAUAUAUUCAUCGGCCGGCCCACAAGGCCACAAUCAAACAACAGUUGAUAUAAAGGGCAAAUGGGAAGAGUAGCAGAAAUAGUUUUUAAUCCUAGUAGUAGUAGAGCUUGACAAAUCUUCUAAAUUUACUUUUAGACCUCUCUGAAGCAAUUCCUCAAAAUGGGGCGGUUGACGUCCGAUAGAGAGACUUCUUUUUGGGAACUUGAGCAGCUGAUUCUAAGCGUAACUGGCCACAUGAAAGAGAACAAGUUAAAAUGAUGAUUCUGUUUUCUAAUUAAAGAAAUCACUAGUUGUAAACAGAAUGAACUGUCUUAAAUGUUUUCAAAUGAUUCUUGGAUACUCCAUAUAUUUCCAAGAUCAGUAAAUGAAGAGCAGAACAUGGUAGAAAUAAAGGACCUGUUGCUGCUGCUUCUUGAGCCUGGCAUUUUCUUCUAACAAAUGGGCAACUUCCAGCUCCAACUCGUUCAUAUAAGCCUGCAAGUAUGGAGAAAGAUCAGAUAAGACAAAAAUAAGAGAGAAAACUCAGCAUAUUGUCAAAACCAAGAAGACAUAAACAAAAGGAGAAAAGAUUAAGAAUGAAUAUAGAUUUAUUCACGUGCAAUGUACAAAAUGUUCAUGCCCUUGAAUGUUUUUUUAAUGUAAUGUCCUUUUCUGGUUUUUAUUGUUUUUGUAAAGGGACAAUGACCAUCUUUAGUCGAAUAAACAUAGUUUAUUGCUAAAACUCGACAACACAACAGAAAGCGUUUUUACAACAAUAUAUGAUUAAGAAAAGUGUAACUUUCCUGCUUUCUAGCCCUUGAUCUAGCAGCAGACUCACGGUUCUUAAUCAUCCUCUUAUUUCUCCUGUCCCCUACAGAAUUAUUCUCUAUUUCAGGAAUCCUUUUUCUUCCAUUAGCAGCUGAAGAAGCCAAGCCCUCAAAUGGAACUUGAGAAAUAGGGGUUGGUGGGUGCAACAUUGAGUUUUGACCAAAGAAAUGAAGCUCUGGAACUGAGUUCAAAUUCAGCAUAGUAGUAGCCGGAACAGGAGAUGCUGCUUGUGGUGGUGGAGGGUCAGUAGCAAAAGGCCGAGCCAAGAAAUCUUGUAAAAUCAUGCCAUUAAAAUUAGCUGUUUGAUGAUGAUGAUCAUGAUCUCUAGAGUAAGUAGUAGUGUGUUCUUGAAGUGAAGAAAGAUUAAUGUCUUUCCAAACUUCUUCCAUAGUUUUUAGUCUUGGAUUUAGGUGAUGAUUUAAAGGAGAAAAUGGGGAACGAGAUGAAGAAGAAGAAGUAGAAGAUGAUGAUUUGGAAGAAGAAGAUGAAAUGCCUCUGCUACUGGUUGAUGACCACAUUCUUGGAGAAGUAGAACAAAGAUUAAAAAGGGAAAACUUUAUUGAGAAAGCGAAUUUAGAAUGUACUCUUUUAUCUUCUAGCUACUACUACUAUUUCUUUCUCGUACUACCACUAACAAUAAAAAGAGACACAAAACUCCUCAAAACCAACCAGCCUAGGCGCAAUCUCGACGGAGGGGAGGCAAUACAAGUCACAAAUGGUGAUGUCUGCUUUCGUAUUGUCAUGUCGAAAUGGUACGAUAAUCCACGCGCCUAAAUAUGUGACGCUUUGGCAGUGAGAGUGUACUAACAUUUCUCUAAAGUCACCUUAAAAGUACCAAGUUGGGAGAAGAAGAGAAGAGGAUGAAGAAAGAAGUCACUGAAAUC